CAAAGGAUAUUAAACUUCACAGUGAACGUGUCCUCUGGGAUCUGAGGAGCCGAAAGUCUGAGGAAAUCCUUAUUAAGCUGAGAGCUGUGGUGGGACAAGAGUCUUCUUGUCAAGCAUUUGUCGCAACAGCACCUGCGGACUUAAGGCUCAGCAGAGGACACAUCUGGAACCCAUUUCCUGCUGGGGUGAACCAUGAAUGCCCGGCCGUAGUCAACACCGAGCGGUGUGUCUCCUGUCUGGCUGUCAGCUGUCUUCCUGGCCAGAGCCUGAGAACAUGGCUGCUAGUGAAAGUGUUUAUGUGUUUAUGUGACCACAGGCUAUAAACCAACAUCAGCUCUAGCUGCACAAACCUGUGGAAUCAAAUGAAGCUUCUUUGUGGAGCAGAGUGACUCAGGUGAAGAAGGAGUUGCAGCGUGGAAGAGAAUGCUUCCUGGAAUUCAUAACACUUCCUUACUUUUCUAACAUUUUUAAAGAAAGUUAUGCCUGAGUGCUCAGGGGGAUUUUAAAGGAAUUGUUGGCUGCAUACAAAAACUAAAAUAUAUGUAUUAAUUUUAAUUCCAUAAUAGGUCCCUGUGGUUGCUGCCUAUCUUAAAGGAAGGAUUAGAAGAAGGCAAAUGUUUCAUUCUAUUCACCAAACAUUAUAGUUAAUACUUUUCUGACAUGAAAUCUUUGUUUACCUAAUGUAUUAGAUGUAAUAGAUUUGUCAAACUAGUUCUUCCCACUAGAGCUCCUGAUUUAAAUCUCCUUUAAAUAAACUUCAGUUGACUCAAUAUCCUCA
rnacentral:lncRNA from 1 species